rnacentral:misc_RNA from 1 species
GAUGAAGAACGCAGCGAAAUGCGAUAAGUAAUGCGAAUUGCAGAAUUCCAGUGAGUCAUCGAAUCUUUGAACGCACAUUGCGCCCUUUGGUAUUCCGAAGGGCAUGCCUGUUCGAGCGUCAUUAUCACCCCUCAAGCCCUCGACUUGGUGUUGGACGGUUUGGUGGAGGCCCCCUCGGGGGCUCCUGCCCCUCCCAAAGACAAUGACGGCGGCCUCGUUGGACCCCCGGUACACUGAGUUCUUCACGGGACACGUAUCGGACACAUGGGUUUACGGGACACGGUCUGCCUCCCCUCAGGGAGAAUCUUUCUAAGGUUGACCUCGGAUCAGGUAGGGAUACCCGCUGAACUUAAGCAUAUCAAUAAGCGGAGGA